rnacentral:rRNA from 1 species
GACGAACGCUGGCGGCGUGCUUAACACAUGCAAGUCGAACGGAAAGGCCCUGCUUUUGUGGGGUGCUCGAGUGGCGAACGGGUGAGUAACACGUGAGUAACCUGCCCUUGACUUUGGGAUAACUUCAGGAAACUGGGGCUAAUACCGGAUAGGAGCUCCUGCUGCAUGGUGGGGGUUGGAAAGUUUCGGCGGUUGGGGUUGGACUCGCGGCUUAUCAGCUUGUUGGUGGGGUAGGGGCUUACCAAGGCUUUGACGGGUAGCCGGCCUGGGAGGGUGACCGGCCCCAUGGGCAUGGGGGACGGGCCCAGACGCCUCCGGGGGGAAGGGGGGGGAAUUUUACCCAGAGGGGCGGAGGCCUGAUGGAGCAACGCCGGGGGGGGGAUGGCGGCUUUGGGGUGAUAACCCGUUUUCCCCUGUGAAGACGCGUGAGGACGGGAAAUGGUGAAAGAAGCACGGCUAAAUUCGUG